CUAACCGUCAAGCUGUUGUCCCGGGCAAUGAAAUCGUGGCCACAGAAUAUCGGAUCAUAGUAACGCGGUCCCAGCCCGUUGGCUUCCCUCCCGCCGCAGGUACAACUGGUGGCUGCCAUACCACUUCGCCACCUAACAUGUGUGGCCUCCCCGCGCCUCCGGAUUCUCCUCCCACACUCGUUCGUCCUUAGCGUCCCCUACCUUGCUCCCUGUACUAUCGCGCUUGAUCUCCCUCCCCUCUUGCUCCUCCCUGUCGUCCUUCCCCGGUCUCCAAACUCCUUCGCAUGAAACAGUACUGAAAUAUCAGUUUCAAAUUGGCUGAAAAUCUGCUAAAUGAAGGCAUAGGGAUUUUGUCAGGCCAAAGGUUCAUAAUCUGUAGUACACGUACAGAUUCAACACAUAUGGCUAGCCAAAUAUCUGGUACCAUAGCAUCUAGUGGGGUGUGCUAUAAUGAUAAACACAGAAUGACGUGUAAGCUGAAAGCACUACGCUGUGUAGCAUCGAAUUGUUUACCACAAGAGGUAGAGGUAAGGAAGUGGAUGAACGGAUAUCAUAUCAUCAGGUCCUUUCCAAACGAUAGGCAUUGGAAAACGAAUGCGAAGUCCAAUGGUUACCUACUCCAACAAGGUCUGAAUGUUCGGUGCCAUUCUUAUGGUUCUCGUAGUGGCAGUGAAACUACAGAGUGCAAUAUUCCUGAAGAUGGCAACAAUCCUUACAGGGAUUUUGAUGAGCAAACAAGAGGAAUGUCACAUUUUUCAGAUAGUCAAGUUGCAGCUCAGGAAAAAACACUAUAUUCUACUCAAGGGCUGUCUGAAGCGUGCCAAUUUGUCUACAAUGAUGCAAAGUUUGUGAAUGAAAGAGCUCAGAGUGAUAUUCUUUUGCUUUCACGUGGCAUCACAAGGUUGAACAAACGUGCAUCUAAGGAUGUUGCUGUAUUAGGGUUGGGGUUUCUCAAGCUUGAUGAUUGCCUGAAAGCUCGUGCAAGGAAGGACACCCGAAAGAUUGAUAACAGUGUGAAGGAACGGGCAGCCCACCUAACCAAUUUUGCUAGAAUAUUGAAGGAGCGAGCUCAUUCAGACUUGAAGAAAGCAGCAGAUCAACAUUGGAGUGAUGGUGCUUUGGAGGCAGAUCUGCGACGAGCUGACAUGGUUGUUCGACGACGUGCCAUGGAGGAUGCUUUCAUGGCUUUAAAGUUUGUUCGGGAUAUUCAUGACAUGAUGGCAACCAAACUACAAUAUCAAUGGUUCAUUUCCCAUGCAAAUUUGACAAGGUUCAUCACACUGGAGAAAAAUGGGAAGAUUCUUAAGUUGUUCCCUCGUGAAGUUUCUACUGAUCAAAUCGCUGCCAUAGAGGAUGCAUAUCUUAAUAUGGCAUCUGCCUUAUCUGAGGCUGAUGGUAUCGACUACACCAAUCCUGAGGAGCUUGAAUUAUUAGUAGCGGCUCUUAUUGACCUGGAUGCUAUGGAUGGGAAAAAGAGUGUUUCCUUGAUAGUUGAAUGUUCAAGUUCUCCAGAUGUUAAUACCAGGAUUCGGUCUUGUAGUCUGUUGCCGCGAGGAGGGUUUGGAGCACGGGAGGGCUAUGAGGUCUUCCUGGUCAUGGAAAGCUUUGGCUAAUGCAUUGGCUGCAGCUCCAUCCAUGUGGACCCUAGGGAAUGCUGGGAUGGGCGCAUUACAGAGAUUGGCUCAAGAUUCCAAUCCCGCUGUAGCUAGCUCUGCAGCAAGAGCCAUUGGCGAACUCAGAAAGCAGUGGGAGCUUGAAGAGGGUGACAGUCUGAGGUUUGUCAUGAACCAAAACUUGAUUUCCGAAGAGACUGACAGCGAGAGUUGAGUAGCAGAUGAUAUCACCACGUGAGGUGUAAAUCAGAUGAAUGACUCAACACGUACAGACUGUAAUAGGAACCGAAAAACGUGUAACUGAGUCGACUGCAUUUCUCUGUGUUACGUCGCAGCAUAAAAUGUGCUGCUUGUUAACUACCUCACGAGAAGGCAUGUCAAGGUACCUGGUAAGUGCUAAACAAAUGUGAAGUGGUGUAAUGCGAACUCAUUUCCUCCGACCCAAUUAUUAUAUACUCCCUACGUCCCAUAAUA